rfam:Sorghum bicolor cultivar BTx623 chromosome 9, whole genome shotgun sequence.
AUCCCAUGAUGAGGACAGGCGCGAAUGUACUCCUGCAGACGUUCCCAUGCUUCGGGAAUCGUCUCAUCUGCUUGCUGUUGGAAGCUGGAAAUCUUUCCACGAAGGGC